UUUCACGAGGGAACCAGUUUUAUGCUAGCAGCCGAUUAGCCUACAAAGUGACGUCAUAGUUCCUCCACUCUAUAGGUGUGGUGGUGUAAUGUUCGAUGGUUCCAGUUAUAUCAGUUGGAAAAUAAGCUUUUAUAUGAAUCUAAUGUUUACUGUUGAAUUAAUUCUUGUAGUUUUUAUAUAUGGGCUACACUAUUUAAAAACAGCUGUUUUUUAAAGGAUGAGAAGCAUGCCACAUCUGUUUUCCUGUCAAUAGAAUGGAGCAAUCAUGACUUCUAUUUGUAUUCCAGUUCCCUUGUCUUCAAGUCUUUGGGUUUUUAAUGGGAUUUCUGUUAAAUCGCUAAAGUAAGGUUUGUGGCUUCAACACUCAUUCACUUUUUCACAUCGUUUACAUCUCACUCUUGAUUUAUUAAAUCCAUUACGCUUCUUUAAAAGGACGCUUGUUAACAAGUUGCUGAAUGGGAAUACAGCUGUGCUGUGAUUACACUGUAGGAUGGAUCAGCGACAGGGAGUCUCACACUGCAUGGCUAUACAAAAGGAGAAUCGUCCAAACGUCGUCUCACAGCCAAAAACAUUAGUACAUUAUUUGGUAUUAACUACAUAUUGAAAGUGCAAUGCAGUCCAAGCCACAGAGCUAGCGCACAAUAAAGACUUUUUACCUGUUUCACUCUUAAAUCUACAAGUAUAAAUAUCCCUGCUACUCGCUGCCGAAUAAUGACAGUGUACCUCACUAACUAAAGCAUAAUAAUCAAGACAACAUGUCUCUUAAGGAUGUUCCGAUUCGAUAUUGAUAUUGGAAAUUCGUCCGAUAUCUGUCCAAAUAAACUAUAUCAGACUGCGUUAAAAAUCUCCGAUAUAAGCGGUCUGAUACUCUCCAAACUCCGUUACAGCUAUUCUAUCCAGCAGCGUCCAGAGCCAGCGUGCAAAGCCCAGGUGAUCACAACACUGCUUGCUAGCAAAGUCUCUAAGAUUUAACAUGCUCUUCACACUUAGUUAUGGUGUAUUACGAUAGAAAUCUAUUGUGACGGUAGCACACGCUGACGCUAGCAACAACGACACAUCUCUAACGUUACUGGUUUAUUUACUUCACGUCAAGCGAUCUUUACACUGUUUUGCAUAAGGCUGCUACGCACCAUAAGGCACCGAAUGGCGACGUAGCACACAUCGUGCGAGCCUCAAUUCGGUCCUGGCAUAUCGUGGUUCAUCCAGUGUGAUACCCAAUUCAUCACCAGCGCUUCCCACACAUCAGACUUUACCUCAGCAGCCCGGUUCUGUGUGCAUGAGAAAAGUCUCAGGCACAGACUCGCGGGCUCUGCUGCUGCAGCAGGCCCACAGAGACGCGCUGGACACCUGCUCUGACUUUAGCUUUGAGAAGAGUGCGAGGACACGCGGGAAAAAAGCCUACAAUACAUUAUCUUUUUCCCGGACAUGUGCUCUAUUUGGGACUUAAAAAUUGCAUUCAGCCAAGAUUUCUAAAUCGCCGAACAUGUCCCGGAAAUAGUGGAUUUCUUAUUCUUUAUUUCAUUUUUUUACUUCAACACUCUGAAAGGAACAGUGUCAUGUAAAAUGCUCAACAUGUUUGUUGUUUUCAUUGUCUGUUAAAUUAGAAUAAGUAAUCAUUCUGCUGCUGAUGGCCAUUACAGUUUAACAGAAAGAAUGGUAUUACUUUUGGGGCAGAAGGAAAAUUUAAUCAGAGACAUUCCCAUGUUUACCUCUUUAAAAAGGCCAGAAAGAUAAGUGCUCUGAUAAACAGUGUCAGCUUUGCACAUCAGUUUGCUGUUAUUUACAUUGUCUAAUUUCCCCAUGUGGGCAGUAGGGUGGAAUCUGUGCAAAUCUGCAAAUAUAAUGAAUUUUGAUAAAUAAAAUUAUUCUUAAAAGUCA